UCACGCAACAUCCCCACCCGGCCAGAGCUCAGCGCCUGCUACACCCGCCCAGGCUCGGACAGCUACUGCGCACAGAAACAGGCUGACCGCGUACGGGACAAUCCCUGGACCGCCUGUGUCUCGGGGUGCAGCACGGCCUGAUCGCUGGCUGUACCCGCCUGGCAUUGCUAGAGUGCCCCACUACCUGCUAGGCGCUGGAUUGCUACUCGCUAAAACCCAGGGCACAAUCAGCAUCAAGCGGGCUUUUAAGGGUUCGCUCGGACAUUAGUAGGCUUCCAGGGAAUGAGACUUUUCCCUGUAAUUUCCCUUUGUCGAUGUGCUUUGUCCAAUAGGCAUCUCCCUGCACAGGGUGUGUCCCACCGCCUUUUCUUCAGCAAAGCUGUUAUCUGCAUAAAACAGAAUUCUGUGUACUGCUGCAAAUAACAGUAGAGAUGUGUUGUUGCAUAUAUAUAAUAAAGCAAGCUAUGGAAUUGGAACAACAAACAGAAGGGAAGGCUGGGGAGGAGGACUCAUCGCAUCUUACAAGCAGUUAGAGGAGUCUGGUAUAAUCAGUCUUAUUUGGAGCUGCAGCGAGGGGGAGGAGAUCAAGCCGCCCAUACAAGUGGGUUAGAGAAACCAAAAAUCUGCCCUUCCCUAUUCCCAAGCUACUGGACCUACCAUUAGAAACUGAGGCCAUGUUGAGAAGGGGAAGGAAAAAAAAUGUGGCUGGUCCAAGGGGAAGAAAAGGAAAUCUCCAAAGGAAUUUUCAGCUCCUCCUGCCCAUGCAACAGGGUAAGCAACGUGUAAGAGUAGUGUGGAAUAUGUUAUUCAGGUAAUUUACUGUUCUUAAUAUGCUCUCUUGUAAGCAGUAUAUUAAAGCAACUUAGGGCUCUGAACUGUAAAGAUUUAGAGAAUGCUAAAGGCUUUGGGAAUGGCCUCUGAGGUCAAUUAAAUAUUUAUAGCUUGGAAAUGUUAGAAAUUCUCAAAUUGCAUUUUGACAAAUACCUUUUAUUAAUCCUAUUCAUAAAAAAAAGUGCAGCGAAGGACUGAAAUGGCUAAAGGGAAUGUAUUGUAGGUUGAGUGGUCAUGUGUGCUUGUGGGUUAGUGCAGAUUUGUGUACCCAUAUGGGGAUUUUUCUUUAAAAUGAUUUGAAGGAAGGUUCACUUAGCCAUGUAGAAGUUGUAUAACUAGCAAUUUCCUAACUUUAUAAACAGUUAACUACCAGGCAGUAUUUAACACAUGUAUUUCAUUUAUAUAUAUAUAUAUAUAUAACACAAAUGCCUUUUACAACUUUGUUUUGUUAAUUGCUGAUAUAUUGCCCGCUGUUGUUGAUAGGUAUAUAAUAUUCUUGAAUGUGUGGAGCAUUAAAAUGAAGGUCAAACAUCCAUAUUUGCCUUUGACUGAAAUUACCAUGAUGCUGACUGCUCAGUGGUUUGAACUUUCUCAAGCAGGAAAACGAGUAAGCCUUCUCAGCAUUAAAAGAGACAGCAAACUAAAAGAGGCAUGUUAUAUUAUCGAUCUGUCUAUCUAAUAGUCUGUCUGUGAGUCUGUUUGUUCAAGACUCCUCCUAAAUGGUAAGAGCUAGGACCAAAAAAUUUGGUGUGCAGCUUUCUCUUAUCCUUACUUAAAGUAAGGUCAGGGUCUGGUUAUGGCAAGAAAGUGGGAUGUGCCUGGAGUUUGAUUGUUUUCCAUACGCUCAAAGGAUCAGAAGGAUGCAAUACUGCACAGUCACAACUGGGGACAGUUAUACAUGGGGAAGUGAUCACAGGGGGGGCAGCUGUACAAGGAUGGAAGUGGCCAGCUGGGGGCUGGCAAGAUGGCAAGCCCUGCUAUUGGCCCAGGUAAGUGGCUCCCCCUGCCUCAAACUUUUCCUCCUCUGCUUUGGCACCAGACCUGAGAGGAGGAGCCACUGGCCCGACUGACACACCUCCUCCCCUGGAGCAGUACCAGGGUCAGGCUCCCCUCCCUCCAUCAGGACCCAGAGACACCCACCCUCAGCACCACCAGGCUGCCCAGCAUGGCCCCCACUCCUCCCCUUAGCCCAGAUCUGGGGACCAACAGGAGACCUCCGCAGCCAGGCCAGACCUGGGCAAUAAACACCAGGUAAGUUUUCUAGUAAUAUAUAUAAAUAUAUUAUAGCAUGUAUUGUAUCUUUUUUUUGCAGAAAUAUAUAAAAAAGCAGAAAAGGACAUGCAAAGUUUAUGAAAGAAUUGAAACACUAUCAAGACUCUGAAGCCUGACAAGCUUUCUUAGAAAGAAGAGCAAUUCACAAAUUGAGGACCCUGUGUGGUCCUGUGUACACACUGAAGAUACUUGGUGGUGUGUAGCGUACAUGCUACAUGUAUGGAUGGACUCUUCCUCAUUCAAUGCACAGGAUGGACAAUGCUCAAUGAAUGAAUUAAGAGUAGCAUACAACUUCCUUGUCUGAUUAAAAGGCAAAACCAAAUUCUUUUAGCUGCAGUUGUGACAACUUGAAGUCUUCAUUCACUUGAACAUGGACAUAAAGUUGUGACAAAAAUUCAUAGAAAGCAAUUACACUAUUGAAUAUACUCAAUUAUUAUUGAAAUACACUGUUUAUAAUGGCUUAUAAGUCACUUUACAGAGGUGGGUAUGUCAUUUUACUUUACAUAUUUACCAAUAAAGAAACAGACCUAUUAACUUGACUCAGUACUGAUCAUCUCCAUUCAGAAAAGGGGAGGAAAAUACUGCACCCACAACUUAUACUAUAUAACCCUAACUAAAACAAGUCCUGUGACACUUCAAAGACUAACAGAUUUAUUUGGAUAUAAGCUUUCAUGGGUGAAAAGCACUUUGUUAGAUGGUCUGUUCUAUCUUUGCUCCUAUUAAAAUCAUUGAAUGCAAUGGGAGCCAAGUUAAACCAAUGCUGAGAGCUUUUGAAAAUCUCAUCAUAAAAGUUCCAAAGGAUGGGGUGUUUGAGUUUCACACAAAUUCUAUAUCAGGUAAAUAUAUUGUGCCCACCUAAAUUCACCUUGAAUUUUCAAUUAGAUACUGUGUUUCUCUUCCUGUCCUAAACUGUUAGGUAUUGUUGCUGUGCACCACUAAGUAAUUUCUGUCUUAUGCUUCAAAAGUGGUUGUGUUUCAGUGGCGGUUGAAGAAGUCCCUUUAUAUUCCUUACCUACAUCACAUGGUUCUUGUAAAGCUUAAAUUAAGUAACAAUGGUAAAGAAGUGUGAGUGCAGUUUGUCUGAAUAACUCAAUUUCAAGUAAAAACUAUGGGGGGUCCUGUGGCACCUUAAAGACUUGAUGUCUGAAUCUUCUCACCUUUCUGGUUUUUUUAGCAAGGACUUAUAAUAAAGUUUUUGCAUAAAGAAAAACUAUGCAGUCCAGUCUGUGUUGAGUGGUUAUAUGAAGGCAUUGAAUUUCAGAAAUAGUCAAAUUAUAUGGUUAUUUUAUUAUACAUGAACAAUUGAAAGACAAAAGUUUGAGACAGUGAGAUAAUCACUAAUAUAUAGCAGACUAUUAUUUUGUUACAGCACAUUCGCAUAGGCCUGGUCUACCCUAAAGGGGGAGGUUGACUUAAAAUACGCAACUCCAGCUACGUUAAUUAUGUAGCUGUAGUCGACACAUCUUAAAUUAUUUUUUUGAGAUGUCAAAACAGCAGGCUCCCAUUGCCUUCCCUUACUCCUCUUGAGGAGCAGGACUACUAGUGCUGAUGGGGGAGCCCUCUCAGUUUAAAUUAGCAGAUCUUCACUAGAUCCGCUAAUUCAAACCCCCAGAAGAUGGACCUCAGCAUCAUUGAUCUUCCACAGAGUAUAGACAUGGCUAUAGAGCCUUGAAUAGAAACUUCUGUAGUUAUUAAAUCGCUCUUUUUUUAAAACAUUUAUAAAGGACAGCUCAGUUUUUCACCUUUUUUGUCAUUUAGGGGCAUUAUUUCCAUUAUCCAGUGCUUAGUCAAAUUACUGUACUUAUUGCUGCUCUAAUUUCAAAUUUUCAUUAGCUUGAAUCUAGCAAUAUGUCCUUGUUUUAAACUGGCACCAUGUUACUACUCUGCAGUUCCAUAGAAUUGAAAUUCAUCUAAAAUGUACCUGUUGUCAGGUUGUUAAUAACAAAGAAUAGCUGCUUCUUAAACAUGCUUGUUGAGCAUAAAACAAAGUUACAAUCCUUGUUUUACAAAUAUUAUUGAACAUGCCAUAAAUAAAAUGUGUGAUUAUACUUUAAAAU